CGCACGCCGACCGCCGCCGCCGAGUAAACAUGGACGUCUGAAUCCCAUCUUAUAGCGAAUUUUCAGGUGCUUCAAAAUGGAUGAUAUGCAGAGAUUGACAACUGCUGCUUGCGCAGACCUGGAGAGGUUAGCUGCAGCUGCAGCAACCAUGGGAUAUUCUUCCGACUCCAUAUCUGUUCCAUCCCAUCACCUACCAAGCGGUGUGCCCCCAAGCACCCUUGCUCCCUCCAUUGUACCUCAGUAUGCCGAUCCUUAUGACUUAUCUCGUGCACAGCAGUAUGCAGUUGCAAGGUUGAGUGAAUACCAACCCAGAACAGUUUAUGAUCAGAAUCGUGGUACCCACACAGCAACAACACAGCAUCAACACAUUAUAACACCAGCACAUGCUCAUGCAUCCUCCAGAAAUUCACAGUAUACUGUUGAGAGAACUAAUUUCAGCCACACAGGAAACAGAACCCAGCAGUACACCACUACAGUGUCUGGCAGCAGUGCCACCAUACCUGGAGGGAUUCAGUAUACUGAUACAAAGAAUAUAAGUACCACAGGGACGGGUAUUGCCCUUUCGCAGCCAUCUCUGCUGCCAGCCUCCACGUCAACAAGUCUUGUCACUCAGGCCGUAACGCAAGCAGUCGUGAAUUUUGUGCAAGAUGGUUUAGUCAUUGAUAAUUCUGGAAAUAUGUCGGCACCACCUCAGGAGAAAAAGAAAAAGAAAGAUAAGAAAACAGAAGCUGAAACAAAAGAUAAGAAAGAAAAACCAGUUUCUGAGGGUGAUAAUGCAGGUGAAGGAACAAGUGCUGAUGGGGAAGCAAAGAUAAACAUAACAGAAGUCCCAGAACCAGUUCUUAUUGAUGGUAGAAAAUAUUAUGUAUGCAGUUUGUGUGACUUGAGAUUUCUGAGAAAGUAUCAGUUUAGAAGACAUCUAAUUGCCCAUACUGGUGAGAAACGUGGUGCUCUUUCAUUAGAAACUAAAGUGGAGAUAAUUCGAAGAAUACAAUCAGGAGAAAAGCAAGUUGAUUUGGCAAUGGAAUACAAUGUAGGUCGAUCUACACUAAGCUUCAUUAUGAAACAUGCUGAGAAAUUUCUUGGGGUUUGGAAGAAUGGAAAAUUUCAUCCAGAUAGCAAACGCUUACGUGGUGCGCAGAGAGAGGAUGUGGAAGAGGCUCUGUAUGAGUGGUAUAAGCAAGCUCUACAAAUGAAUGUGACAAUUACUGGACCUAUAUUGUGCCAGAAAGCAAAAGAUUUUGCUGUGAAGCUUGGUUAUAAGGAGUUCAAAGCAACACAUGGCUGGUUAGAUAGGUUCAAGCACAGAAAGAAUAUUGUUCUUGGGAGAGGUAAACCUAAUAAAGAUAAGGACAAUCAGGAAGAUUCUGAGGAUCUAAAGGCAGACUUCACAGGUCAGGUUCUUCCCAGUGCACUUAUGGAAUAUGAAGCCAAUGAUGUCUUCCAUGCCGACGAAAUAGGACUGUUGUACCGUGUCAUGCCCAACAAAACCUCAGUCUUCAAAGGAGAUAGAUGUGCUGGUGGCAGUAAAAGUAAGCAUAGAGUGACUGUCCUCAUGUGUACAAAUAUGACAGGUACAGAGAAGUUUCCACUCUUGGUCAUUGGCAAACAUCCCAAACCCAAGUGCUUCAAGAAUGUGAAAAGCCUGCCAGUACAGUACUUGGCAAAUCCCAAGGCCUGGAUGACGACAGAGAGUUUCACUGCUUGGCUUCAUGAUUUAGACUCAUGGUUCGUGCAGCAGAACAGAAAAGUUUUGCUCAUAUUACCCAAUCUCCCUAUUCAUCCCAAAUCACCUAAACUGAAUGCUGUCAGAGUACUUACCAGUCCAACCACCUUUAUAGGCCCAUGUAAAUUAGGGGUUUCUCAUUCUCUUAAGAGGAACUACAGAAGAGCAGUGUUAGAAUCGCUUCUCAAUUACAUGGAUGAAGAAAAUUUGAAGAAGAAAAAGAAGCCUAAACAGACACAGAUGAGAUUAAAUCUACUGUCGUGUCUUCACUUACUUGCUGCUGCUUGGCAUGCAGUAACCGAUGUAACAAUCAACAAUAGUUUUCAGAGAUCGGGUAUUGGUAAAUAUGCAUUGUGGGGGAUGAAUCUCAUGCCAGAAACAAAUUUAGGAACAGAAAAUCUUGAGCUAAUCCACAAACUGAAAUCAAAAGGCUUCAAAAUUCCAGAUGGAAUAACAUUUGAUGAGUUUGUGAUGUUUGAUGAUGAAUUACAAGUUUGUCAUCUAAUGGAUGAUGAUGAUAUCAUUGCUGCUGUUACAGGAGCAGAUAUUGAGUCUUCAGAUAGUGAGGAAGAAGAUAUAGAGAUUGAAAAGAUAAAAGCAAUAAAGGAAAAGGGAGAAGCUCCAGAGGAUAGUGAGGCAGAAGUAACGGAGGAAACAGAAGAUGGUCCUGCAAUGACAGAAGUUGAUGCAAGCCUUGGAACGCUCCGGCAGUACAUUCAGUAUCAAGAAGGAGCUCAGGAAAUGUUCCGUGUUUUAGCCCAUCUUGAAUUCCUUAUUCACAAAGGAGGUAGUAAACCCCCAGUUGCCAUAGCUUCCUCUGAGGCAACAUGAAACAUUAAAGCUUCCAUAGAUGGGAAGACACAAAAAGAGAACCUGACUGAUGAAGCACACCAUCCAAGAGCGCAUUUACAUUCUACAGUGCUAUUGUUAACAAAGAUGAUGAACUUCUGAAGUAGGACUUACUUGACAGUAGUCGUCACAGCAAAAUGGAAGACCUCCACCGCCUAAGCA
rnacentral:misc_RNA from 1 species